rnacentral:rRNA from 1 species
UACGUAGGGUGCGAGCGUUGUCCGGAUUUAUUGGGCGUAAAGAGCUCGUAGGCGGUUUGUCGCGUCGGCUGUGAAAACUCGGGGCUCAACCCCGAGCCUGCAGUCGAUACGGGCAGACUAGAGUGCGGUAGGGGAGACUGGAAUUCCUGGUGUAGCGGUGAAAUGCGCAGAUAUCAGGAGGAACACCGGUGGCGAAGGCGGGUCUCUGGGCCGUAAGCUGACGCUGACGGAGCGAAAGCGUGGGAGCAAACAGG